rnacentral:rRNA from 1 species
UACGGAAGGCAGCAGUGGGGAAUAUUGCACAAUGGGCGCAAGCCUGAUGCAGCCAUGCCGCGUGUAUGAAGAAGGCCUUCGGGUUGUAAAGUACUUUCAGUCGUGAGGAAGGUGUUAAGGUUAAUAAUCUUAGCAAUUGACGUUAGCGACAGAAGAAGCACCGGCUAACUCCGUGCCAGCAGCCGCGGUAAUACGGAGGGUGCGAGCGUUAAUCGGAAUUACUGGGCGUAAAGGGCACGCAGGCGGUUAAUUAAGUUGGAUGUGAAAUCCCCGGGCUUAACCUGGGAAUGGCAUUCAAGACUGGUUAGCUAGAGUCUUGUAGAGGGGGUAGAAUUCCAUGUGUAGCGGUGAAAUGCGUAGAGAUGUGGAGGAAUACCGGGUGGCGAAGGCGGCCCCUGGGACAAAGGACUGACGCUCAUGUGCGAAAGCGUGGGGAGCAAACAGGGAUUAGAUACC